GAGUAAUGUAGAAGAGUUAAAAAUAUUCGUUGAAAACACAAUAUGACAUUGUACCUGUCCGUUGUUUACAGUUUAGUUUACAUGUGUGCAGCUCCCGACGUUGGAUUACGACCAGGGUACUGCGGCCCGGGAUAUUUUGGAUUGUUUUGUGGAGAUAUUUGCCCAUAUCCUUACUACGGAAAACUCUGCGAUUACACGUGUUCUUGCAGUAAAAAAUAUUGCAGUCAUGUGAAUGGAUGCAUACGUGCUUCCAGUUGUCCAUCCGGAUUUAUUGGUAGUUCUUGUGAAUCAAAGUGCACCUUUCCGUCCUAUGGAGUCGGUUGCCAACAAACAUGUCUUUGCACGGAAGCAGUCUGUAACUUUUCAACCGGAUGUCAAAGGAAAAUUGUAAAUCGUCAAACUGUAUCUUCCAUGAAAAGUUUACCUAUCAUCGGUGGAACUACAAAUGAAAGGUUAUUGAUACCGAAGUCUAAUUCAACGAUAUGGACUCCAGCACAAAGUGCAGCUGUGAGUAGCCAAACCCUAUCUUCCCUGAAAGCUUUUACUAUCAACAAAGAAACUACAAAUGAAAUAUUAAUGACACCGAUGUCUAAUACAACGAUCUGGACUCAAACACAAACUGCAGAAACUACAAGGGAAGCCUCCUUGGAAUGCAAGACAAUGCAUCUCAAAACCAAACAGAGAGGAACAGGAAAAUCAUCUGGUCUGUUUUCUUUCAGCGAAAACAGAGGAAUAAAAGCGAGCCUUGGGGUCCUUUGCAUCCUAUUUAUUUGGCUUGUGAUCGCACAUAUAUUUCUUUUCAUUGUUCAGCGCAUCAAAGUGAAUAGCAAUCCAAUACCAGUAUAAACAUUUUUUUGAUGCCAUGCGUGUAUUUACAUAUUUGGGAGUUGAUUUUAAUCAACUCUCCUUUGCAGUUACUCGGACAAACCGAAAGUGAAACAGUGUUUGGACCUCAGCACAAAUCAUCACUGCUGACAAGACUUAGUUCUUGAAAAUAAUUGAUAAAUUCAAUGUACAUGUAAUGUAUGCUAAAGCAUUGUUUUUCAAGGAAACUUAUUUAUAAAUACCUUGAAGAUAGUCAGAUUUUAAAUGGUACUAACAAUUCAGAUAUUGUUUGUAGUCGUAUGUAUUCCUACGCCAGAGUUCAAUAUAGUCUCGUUCAACUCGAUGUUCGGCUGUCUCCGUAAAUCUCCGACAAGCAGAGAGUCUCUCUUGCUUGUCGGAGAUUAACGGUGUCAGCCGAGCGUUUGGUGGAACGAGACUAGAGUUCAAUGUUGCUUGGAUCCAUACAAUUUUCGAGAAAUAUUUCUAUUACUGAUACAUAGUUUGAUUGAAUUAAUUUUAUCUUUAAGUAUUAUUUAACAGUAUUCAAAUGGGGGUUUCUCGACAUUCUUGUUGAAAAAGUCCAAAACUUCAUAUUAUAAGAAUGUGCGUAAUUGAAAUACAAAUUAGAAACUACAUGUACUUGUCAUGCAAAAUAACAUAUCAUUGAUUUUAAAAUAAAUAAACAUCGACAAAACCAACUCCCGUCAGUUCUUCAGUACUUUGAUUUGUACUUAGUAUGCCCCUUUUCCAAACCAAUUUCUUAUAUUCAUGGAUUGUUUUAACAUCAAUAGCUGCUGAUAUGAAAUUUCCAAGUGCAGCAGAAUAUGCGCUAUUUUAUUAUUGGAGAGGGUUGGGGUUUGGGUUUGUUUUUUUUAAGAAGUGGUGGGGUUGGUGUUUGCAGUUUUAUCAAAUUAGAGAAGCCAAUAGUGUCCAGUUAUGCAUUUAAUUUUUUGUACGUUGAUAGAAAACUGAAAUAAACUUUUGUUAAAACAAUGUU
rnacentral:sRNA from 1 species